UAACCGUUUUCUUAGGAACUCAAUGGUGAAAGAUAAGCUGCCGUAGUAGCCGUCCGAUCCGAACAAAAGGGUACCGAGAUAUCUCCAUCGUCCUUCUAGCUCAGGUCAUGACAGAAGCCAAUGCAGGCGCACCGCUUGUAUUCUCAGUGCCGCCAAGGCAUAGCCGUUCGCGCUGCGCGUCGGCCUGAGCCCAUGGUACCCUUCGCAGCUGAACCUGAGCAUCAACGUGCCUGUGGACGCUAUCGUCGUUGCCGACAUCCUCAAUGACUCCUCCCUCGCGCUCGCCAAAGUCAUCAGCAAGCCCGAAUCCGAGUUGUGGAAUGGAGAGGGUCAGCACAAUGAAUUUCUCGGGUACCAGGGACCUAUCAGAAAGACAAGUGAUAUGGCUAAGUUUCUUAGAAACUUUAGAAAUCAGAUGUUACCAAAUAAGGUUAAUUGCUAAUAAGUUUAUGACAGUAAUGUACACCUACAUUUGUUUGAUGCAAGGGCACAGCCAGUUUGAUUUAGCACAGGAUCACCACAGGGGUUGUAUUAUCAAUUCCACAUUUUUAAUUAAACAAGUUCCUGGACUGUGAUAUUCUUACUACUAGGUAAUCCUUGUUACCAAUUU